CAUAUACUCCCUCCGUCCCAUAUCAAGUGACUUUCUAUUACAUAUAUCUAUACGUAUUUUAGUAUAUAACGUCCAUAUUUAGACAAAUUUGAGUCACUUAAUAUGGGACGGAGGGAGUACUAU
rfam:Brachypodium distachyon strain Bd21 chromosome 3, whole genome shotgun sequence.